UUUUUCUUUUUGGUUUAUUCAGUUUUUAUUUUCUUUUGCUUUGAUGUAAUCACCCAUUAUGGGUUGUCUUAAUCUAAUGAAUUUGAUUUUGUUUACAUACAUUUUCCUGUUUAUUUCGUUAGAUAUAUGACUAUGUUUGGCUAGUGGUUAUCUUGAUCACUUACACCAAAUACUUGGUUGUCCUCUCAUUUAGUCCCCUUGACUGUAGAUGU
rnacentral:lncRNA from 1 species